AUGUUGCGCCUCCAGGCUACUGCCCGCGCGCUGACUAGCUGGAGCGCCAAGUCCAAGGGGAACAUCCGCGACAAGCUUGCGAUCUCCCGAGAGCUGAUCUUGCGCUUCGACAAGGCCCAGGAGGACCGUGUCCUCUCCCCUCCCGAAGACUGGUUGCGGAAACAGCUAAAGAUCGCCUACCUUGGGCUGGCGUCCUUGGAGCGCACGAUCGCAAGGCAACGGGCACGGAUCGCCACCCUCAGGGACGGAGACGCUAACACGGCCUUUUUCCAUCCCGAGUGA
rnacentral:rRNA from 1 species